CAUACGAAGUCAAUUAUAUUUUCAUUUUUGGGAAAAAAAAAAGAACUUAGUUGAGAACAAGGGUUCUCGAAAUUUCCCUUUUUCGUUGAAAUUCGUUGCUUGUAAAUACAAGCGGUAGUUUUGAGCAGGGUAAUAUCGCUAAAACGACAAAUGAAGUAAUUGCAAAAGUGCAAGCAUUUAUAGAGUAAUCUUCAGCUAAAAAGAUUGCUUGGAGUUGCUUCUUAGAGAUAAUUAGUUCUUUGGAUGAAUUUAACCGUUGGCUCGUCAGGACACCAAUAGAACAAUGGACCAUUUUAUUCAGAAUUUCACAUUCUAUGCGAAUCAAGAAUCUGGUGCGGUCCUUUUCAAUUUGUGGAAUGUCAAUUCAAAUUAUUUGAAGAUACUUGCAGUAAUGGCUUGCCAAGUCAUCCAGACCAUGAAAUUGCCAGGGAACAAAUGACUGGUUUUGGUGGUGCCGUCAGUUUCAAGGUAGUCAGAGGCUCCGCGGACAAGUUCACUUACUAUCUGAAAAUACCAUAUGUUUCCCACUUCUCUGGAGGUUGUGAGAGUCAAGUAGUCCGACCUACAUACUGGCACAGAUCAAGUGGCUACAAACUGCUGGUAGGCGAAUGAGAUUGAAAACAGCCUGUUUACAUUCAGUUUCGGAGUGGAUGCCUUUUGAGGAUUUGAAGGCCGAUAUCCUUCAAGCACUAGAGGCUGUGCUAUAGCUAACAACGUUAUGAUAAUGAUUUAUGCAGAGAGCCAAUUGUAUUUGUCAACCUGUUUCAGAAAAUAAAUAAGCAAUGGGGUUGUGUGAUACCUUAAGCGCCGGUUUGGGUGUGUUAAAUUUAUGUGAAAGUUGAGGAUUUAUAUC